rnacentral:rRNA from 1 species
UACAGAGACUGCAAGCGUUAUUCGGAUUCACUGGGCGUAAAGGGUGCGCAGGCGGCCAAGUGUGUGAGGCGUGAAAGCCCGGGGCUUAACCCCGGAAUUGCACCUCAAACUACAUGGCUAGAGCAUUGGAGAGGGUAGCAGAAUUCAUGGUGUAGCAGAGAAAUGCGUAGAUAUCAUGAGGAAUACCAGAGGCGAAGGCGGCUACCUGGACAAUUGCUGACGCUCAGGCACGAAAGCGUGGGGAGCAAAAGGG